UCUGGCGGGGCCUGUGUUUUUACCCCGGCGUGUUCUCCAAACUCGGGUCGUUCUCCACUGGUCUUUCUCAUUUGCUUCGGGGCUAACGUGCUACAGCCUCUGUCACCCUGUGACCUGCAGGUACUGGGAGGUCCAUGGAGAGGACUGUAGGACUCUGAGCAAGGCGAGAAAUGGAACUGUUGACAUUUGGGGAUGUGGCCUCAGAAUUCUCUCCAGAGGAGUGAGCGUGCCCGGACCCUUACCCAGAGGAGUUUAUGUAAGGAUGUGAUGCUACAGAACUACAGAAAUCUGGUCUCCCUGGAGCUAAUCACCUGUCUGGAGCAAAGGAAAGAGUCAUGGAAUAUUUAAAAAGAGAAGAGGGUAGCCAAACACCCAGGCUGGUCAAGUGAAGCAGUGGGAGUGGAGAAGGAACAGAGGAAUCUGUAACUCGUUGUGAUCAAUUAGUUGUAACCUCAUUUAAAUUUCUUAAAGAUGCCUUCCUGGAAAUGGCUGAAUGACUGUUAUGGGAAUGAGAACUUCUAUGAAGAGAUGUGCCCUGCUGUUGAUGCCUCCUUGCAAACUGCCUUCCUGGUGGCAGGUCUCCAUGAGUCCUUCUAAGGCCUUUGCAAGACAAAUGUGGCUUUCUCAUGGAGAAUCUGAAAUUUGUGAAAACUGAAUUAAUUUCCUGAUCUUUAGAGGGUGCC